GUGCGUGAGGGUGUCCAAGGUGGGGAGGGGUGAGCAGCAUUUCCAGAGGUGGACACAGCAAGUCCAAGAAGGAAGGAAGGAUGCCUCAUGGGAGGAAGGUGGAUAUCAUUUGAGGUAAUUGAUGGUGGUCAGUCAAGCAGGAAGCUAGACUAGCCACCUACCACCUCACCAUGCAUCUAAGACAGGGAAGGGUGGCACCAAGGUCACAACAGAUAAUACUUAACCAACACCAGUAAUAACCAGGGAAAAUAAGAUUCAGUAGGUUUGGUUGGUAGGUUAGAUUAAACAAAUGGAGCCAAGAGACUGAAUCAGAAAAGCAGUGAAGGUGGUGCAAAGGAAGAAGCAAUAGUGAUGAUCAGGAGAGAAGCUGAGGUGUUGAAUAUUAUAUCAAAGCAGCCUUUAAUGAGGAAUAAUCAAAAUAAAGAGAUGAAGAGGCAAAAGGCACAAGUUUGCUUUAGAAGUAACAAAUAGAAUGGAGAUACAUAAGAUAAAGGUGUAUUUAUGUUAAGGGCAGUACUGUACAGUGCAGUACAAUUAAGUUAUACAGUAGACGGUAAAAGUAAUAAGUAUGGAAAACAAGUAACAAUUAAGUGAGGAUUACAAUUAACAAUUUAAGGUAGAUAACAUGUAACAUGGUAAGAUCAGUUGUAAAAAUUUAAGAUAGAUAACAAGUAACAAUUAAUGUAAUAUAUGGGUAACAAUAAUGGUAAAAUAACAGACAUCAAUUCCAGCAAGAUAAUAAAGACCAUUUAGAGUAAAAUAACAAGUAAUAAUUUAGGGAAGUUAACAAGUUAACCAGGGUUAAUAGGUAAUAAUUUAUGGAAAUCAACAAGUAAUAACUAGGAACAUUGGGUAAUAAUUCAGGGAAGAUAACAAAAAACAAUUAAAGUAAAAACAAAGGCUAAUAUUUAGACAAGCUAAAUGUAAUAAUUUGGAUAAGAAAAUGGCUAACAAACAAUAUAACAAAAAAAUUCAAGAAAAAGUGAAUAUGGAAUAAGAAACAAAAUCACAAAAGAACCAUCAAAAGGAGGCAAUAAUAAUUACAACAAAAAAAUCAAUUUAAGAUGGAAUUGGGCAUUUAAGGCAAUAGGGAAUGAUGAAGGUAAUUGGGGACACUUAGGGUGAGGAGGAAAAAGCAAAACACAGGAGUAGGAAGAGAAAAAGAGGAACAUACAGGAGUAAGAAAACAAGUACUGUAUUGUAGUGAAAGAUAAAGUAACAGCUAGCACUGUGAACUCUCAAUAUGGCCAAUUUGUGCAUGAUAACUAUUCAUUUACUAUAAUUUCUCAAAAGAUAAAAAGUAACUUUAAUGACAUGUAGCAUUAACUUUGUACUGUACAGUUAUUAAGCAAUAGUAAUAUUUUUUCCCAGACUUUAUUUUCAGUUCUAUCACCAAGUUUCAAGAUACAAUAUUCUAGAGAACUUUGAAUAAAAGGUUUGUUUCCUUGAUCCACUCUAAAGAAACAAAACUGGAAGAGGAAGAUAUUAGAAACAUAUGAUUUACUAUCAUUAGUUUCUCCAGGUCUAUGAAAGUCAACGUUGAAGCCGAUUCUUUUCAUUAAGAUUAGGAACCCCUAAUUUGGCAUUCUUAAAACUAUCUUAAUUGCUUGUGUUAUGCAAUUUGUACAGGAGAAAAAGCAACAGAUCACAUGAUCUAGUCUGUACAGUAAGCAUUAGGAGUUAUGAUGUAGUGGAUAUAGACUUAAUUACAGUAGAAGGAAAUUCUUUAAAAAAUUGUCAGUCAAUCAAAUGUUCUUGGUGCUAUACAUGAAGAUACAUGUUUCAGUCAUAUACGUACUGUAAUUAUUAAUGUUCAAUAUUUUGUAUUGCCAACUUUUCAAGCUAAUUUUCUGGCCAUUAGCUAUGAUUAUCCUCAUUCCAAUAACUUUGGUUUAGCUUCUGUGUUAACAUAAGAUUAAUAUCAACAAAAACAAUUAAAGAAAGCAAACUGAAAGUGUAGUGUAUGUAAUUAUUUGUGCAAUAUUGCUGCCAGUGCAAGCAUAAGCUGUGAAAACAAUUCUGCUAACACUAUGCUUGGUGCUAUGUUUGAAGUACCAGCUACUGCCUCAUGGAAUUUUGACACAGUGGGCAGAGCUUCCUAGGGUGGGAGUUGACGUUUGCAUCAGCCAUACUAGAAAGAAUCACUAUAAGGUAUAAUAAGUGUCAUUACACAGCUCUGGAGAUGAUUAAUUUGGAUAUUCUAGAGAAAAUCAUUAUAGUAUACAAGAGUCACUAUGGUGUGCAAGAUAAUUGUUAAGAGUACAAGAGGAUCACUAGAGCCUACAAGAGGAUCACUGGGGCGGCCUACAAGAGGAUCACUGGGGCCUACAAGAGGAUCACUAGGGCGCCUACAAGAGGAUCACUGGGGCCUACAAGAGGAUCACUAGGGCGGCCUACAAGAGGAUCACUGGGGCCUACAAGAGGAUCAUUAGGAUCUACAAGAGAGUACCACUGGGAUAGCCAAGUAAUUAGGCCAUGAGUUGAACAAGGAAGGAGGUGCUACGGUGCUAGUGACUGGUCCGUGUUGAAGCAUCGAGGUGGCGAUGCCAAAAAGUGGCAAAAAACCUGUGCUUUACCUGUGCAUUUUAUUUGUUACUGUAUUCAUUGGAUUUUAAGCACAAAAAAUCACUUCUUACCUUUAGAAGCACAGUCCCCAUAUUUCAUGAGCCAUUUGUAGUGUUCUGGGCACUUCUUAAAGUACAGUACAGUACACCAUCAUACAGGUUUAGUUGGUUUAGAAUUCUCAAAUUUAUAUUCCCAGUUAUCUGACUUUGCAUCUCAUUUAUCAUCUGCAAUCCUUGUACCUCUCAGCUGAUAAUGUAAUUUUUCUUUAAAGUUCACCUCAAGACAUUACUUAAUCUAUUACAUGCCUAUAAAUUUCCCCGUGACUUCCUUCCCAAUUUACCACAUUUGACUAAAGUUUUUAUAUUAAUUUUUUUUUCAUGAAAUUCGUACCCUAACAACUUCAUCUCUCUCUUCAGUUUCAUCUCUGCAUUAAUAUGUUUAAUAACUUCAUCAUCAAUUAAUUCUUCCAUUUAAUUGCUAUGUUUCUUGAAGCAGCCAUCUCAUUUACGAGCCGAUUAGUGGUGAAGAGGAUAAAAGUGCAUGAGAGUGUUUACAAAUGAUAAUACAAGUGAACUAUAGUUCACAUGUAACACUCUCUCCCUUUAUGAGACUCAUCCACAGAAUUUUUCAUCAACAUUAGCAUUUCACCUCAUUAUGUUCAAAAUAUUUCUACAAGUUUUUUAUAUUCAGCAAAAAGAAUGUAUUUCUUAAGAGAAAUAUUGUCCCACAUUUACAAACUAUUCACCAGUAUGUCAUGGUUUCUCACUACAACACUAGUUAGUGCCACACAUAUGCCCCUCACCAAUGCAGCUGAUAACCAAUUCUUGAUUACCCUGUACUGUACUGUACUGUACUGUAUUGUAUUUGGCAAUUUACUCGGAGGCAAAAUGAAAAACUUUUAUGCAAGAGGGUCUGUGGGCCAUAAUCUCACUCAAUAACUACAAUAAGAACAUGAUUUGGUGAUAAAUUUUGUCUUCAUAAAACAAUUAAUGUUGUGGUUCACCGAUUACUAACACAAUAUUAAUUUGUAGUACUUUAAUUUAUAGAUGUGUCCUCAACAUUGCAUCAUGAAGUUCACACUAAGUUCAAAGAACAUGCCUCCUUACACAUGUGUGUAAAUGGAGAAGGAAAACAUUGGUAAAUAUGAACAAGCGCAGGAACAAAUACUGUGUUUAGUUUAAUAUUAACGGAAACCCUUGUUCACAUAUUGUGAUGAUAAGAGUGCUGAAUCCCCAAACACAACAAAUACAAACUCUGCAUCCUGUUAUGUUGAGAUAAAAAAAUAAAUUAAAUAAAUUAAAUUUGUUUUGACACUGAUCAAUUCUUCAGUAAAGCCAAACUAGCAAAAUGUUUAAUUCUUUUGAUUUUUUUUUAAUCAAAACAUUUGGGAAAAUAUUUUUAUCUAUAAAUUAAAAACAAUUAAUUAAUUCAUUACAGUAUAAGAAUCUUUGAUGAAUGUAGCACGACCCUGUGCAGUAUCUAGCACUGUAUUCCUCAUUCUUUCCAAUAAAAUUAACUGCCUAAGACAUGGAGAAAGUAC